UACGUAGGGGGCAAGCGUUGUCCGGAUUUAUUGGGCGUAAAGAGCGUGUAGGCGGUUUGGUAGGUCCGCUGUGAAAACUCGAGGCUCAACCUCGAGACGCCGGUGGAAACCAUCAGACUAGAGUCCGGAAGAGGAGAGUGGAAUUCCUGGUGUAGCGGUGAAAUGCGCAGAUAUCAGGAGGAACACCAGCGGCGAAGGCGGCGCUCUGGGCCGGAACUGACGCUGAGGAGCGAAAGCGUGGGUAGCAAACAGG
rnacentral:rRNA from 1 species